GCGUUGUCCGGAAUUAUUGGGCGUAAAGGGCUCGUAGGCGGUUUGUCGCGUCGGGAGUGAAAACACUGGGCUUAACCCAGUGCUUGCUUUCGAUACGGGCAGACUAGAGGUAUGCAGGGGAGAACGGAAUUCCUGGUGUAGCGGUGAAAUGCGCAGAUAUCAGGAGGAACACCGGUGGCGAAGGCGGUUCUCUGGGCAUGAUCUGACGCUGAGGAGCGAAAGUGUG
rnacentral:rRNA from 1 species